AUGCUCAAAAUAAUUAAACUGAUUGAGUAGUAUAAACUUAAUUUUCCAAAAAAGUUCUACUAACUCAAGUAGUUUGGGUUUGUGUGACUUUUUAAUAGUUUUUGAGUGAUUUAAAAUUAUUAUUUUUGAUUAACUGAAACAACUUGCUCAUUAAGUAAGUGUCACUUAGGAAUAUAAUUUAACUUUACUUAUUCUUUAUUUUUAUUUUUUUAGUUGUUUCAACAUGAUGUCUGCAUAUGACAUUAGUAAACUUUGUGUGUGUGUGCGUGUGUGUGUGGUGAAGCAAUUUGUCACCUUUAAUUAAAUUAUAUACAUAUAAAUAAGUUAAAAUAAAAUAAAAACUUCAUUUGACUAAUGAAGCUUGUGUCUUCAUGAAUUCAGCUUUAAAAAUUAUUUUGCAAGAAAAAUAUUACAUAAAUAUUACAAAUUUUACAUAAACGUUAACACUAACCAGAACAGCUGUUUUAAUGUGUGCACAAAAUACAAUAUUAUAUUAUAUAUUAUAUAUCUAUUAUAUAUACAGUAUUAUAUAUAGAAUGGGCCUUUAUCACAUGCAGUAAAAAAAAUGUUUGUUUAAAAAACUUUUCCGUUGACGUAAGGGUCGUUAUUUUAUUGGCUUACGCGGCUAACGUGCUCCAAGGUCAGUGUGAGACUUUUACGACGUUGUGGGAGCGCGCAACGCUUGGAUAACGUUUGCUUUGGCGCCACAAAAUACUGCAGUGAGUGAGGAGGAUCUCAGCUUCAAGUUGUCGGCAGUUAUCACGGUAAGUGUUAAAUGCAUUUUAAAUAGGCGCUUAUCUAGUGAACAGUUGCAACAGUUUAGUCUAGAAAAAACUUUAAAUAGCGUUCACCAGUUACGUAUAUUUACAUCCAAAAGUAAUGGAUGUCCUGCAAGGAAUAACUGAUGAAAUGGGCCUGAAAAAAAAAUGAACGGCGAACGGGCGAAGCAUAUGUUACACAUUAGUUAACUUCUAUAUCAUUUUCGAACGGAUCAUAGUCUAUAUUUCCGCUUGCACAACGUACGAGACAAUGUAACUUUGCCUAACGUUCCAUUUGUUUUAUUUAAAGACAUUAGACACGCGAUUUAAAAAUAAACAUUAGUUACUAAUUUUGUCUGGUGUGCAAAAACACUAUAUAACUUGGAAAAAAUACUUUUCCCAAUUAGGUGAUGUGCCACUGAUACGCAAUUUGACAAAACAUCUGUUUUGACAUAUAAAACACUGUGGCCCACAACUAUCACAUUCCGGCUUAAUAUUUAACAGCUGCAACUGUCUAUUAUAUAGUAGUCCCCUUUAUGUUUGGUGUUACAUCAACAUAACUUUUUACAUGUUUCAUUACUGGAUAAAUAAUUCAAAUUUCUCACAAAUUAUUCAGUGAAAAUUCAUAUUUAAUGGUUAACGUUACUUGUCGGCACCUAUUGGCGUAACAACGUAAUUGUGCCAUGUAAAUUAUGAUCUUUCAGAAUAUAUAUUGCAGUUUCAAUCGAGAUCUUUUAACAAUUAAUCGUGCAGCUCAAGUGGUAGCUGUAUUCUCUGGUCAUGGUCAUGUAACCUGUUUGUUGAAUUGUACUCGGAUAAUUAAACUGUUUUUUUUCUUUUUUCUUUUUUGGAGCUAUACACUUUCUAACAUUAAUUUUGUUUUUCUUUCAGGUUGUUGGCUUCAAUAUGAUUUGGCAGUGUAAGUUGUGUUCAGCUUCUUUUACUGAACGACUGCAAAUAUUUAAGCACUACAGACUGCAGCAUAGCCACUUUUCCAGUGUAUGCCCCCUUCCAUGCAUCUACAAUUAUUGCAUGUGUACAUUUAAGACUUUUAAUAGUCUUAGAACUCAUUUGGCAAGAUGUCACACUCACCAAUUUGGCAGUAGUGCAGAACACUGUCAGCAGUCUCUGUUGUUUAAAUGCCCUUUAUGCCCAUUUCAGCAGCAUUUUUCUGAAUCUGUUGUCUUCUGCCAUCUUAGAAGGCAUUUAAGAAAUCAUGAAACAGUGGCUUGCCCAUAUAAGGAUUGCAGCUUUACCACUAAUGUGUACUCUACAUUCAAUUCUCAUAAAAGUAGAUCACACCAAGCAAGUGUUUCGUCAGACUUUAAAAAUGACAUUGUCAGUGAAGUUGCUCAACCCAGUAUUCCUGCAGUUGAUGGUGAUUUGAAUGAAGAACCUUCAGGUAUAGAUGAGGAUCCAUUGGGGGAUGAUGGUGUGUGUGACACUGACAAACUAAAACAAGAUCUCAGAAUGAAUUUAUCUUCCUUAUUUCUAAAGAUGCAGGCAAUCCUCCAUGUCUCAAACACAGCUACCCAGGAAAUAGUGGAGCAUUUAAAUCAGGUCUGCUUCUUAUCGCAGCCUUUGAUCAAGAAGGAAAUGCAAGAUAUAUUGCAGAGAAAUGGUUGCAAUUUGGCAGAAUCUGCACUGGAUGAGGUUGUAAGUGGAGUUAUGGACUCUAAUGUUAUAUUUACUAGUACUUCUAAUUGUGCAGAGUUAUCCACAUCGAAGUGCAGAAAAAUCUUUUUUGAGCACAACUAUCCAUGUGUAAUGCCAACUGAGUAUCAGCUGGAGCAACUUGGACAUUCCAUAAUGUAUGUUCCUAUCCUUCGAAUGAUUCAGGAGUUGUUUAAGAACACAGACAUUCUAAAAAUAAUUACUGAUCCAAAUACCAAUUCUGGUCAAUAUGCAUCAUGUUGCAAUGGCUCUUAUUUCCUUGAAAAUGAAUUAUUUUCAACCGGUGAUCUCCUUUUACCCCUCCAGCUAUAUAUUGAUGAUCUUGAAAUUGCCAACCCACUUGGCACAUCACGUAAAAUUCACAAACUUUGUGCUGUUUACUGGGCAUUUGCCAAUAUGCCACCAAAACACAGAUCAACUUUACACAAUAUACAGCUAGCAUUGCUUGCAAAAGUGACAGACAUCCAUAAGCAUGGGUAUGCAGCUGUACUUGCUCCAUUAUUACGUGAUGUUCAUAUUCUUGAACAGGAUGGUGUCUUUAUUGAAAGAGCUGGUCGCAAUGUCAAAGGUACCAUCUUUUGUGUUUCUGCUGACAAUCUAGCCGCCCAUGGAUUAAGUGGCUUUGUGGAGUCAUUUAAAGAAGGCUAUGUUUGCAGAUUCUGCUUGGCCACAAGAGAACAGUUUAAAGCAACUGAAGCCAGGCAGUUUUCUCAAAGAACCAAAGACAGCCAUGACCUUCAUGUACAAAACCUUCUGGAAAGUGACACUUGCUCCAACCACUUUGGUGUUAAAGCUAGUUGUGUCUUGCGUGACUCCCUGGAUUACUUUCAUCCAAUCACAGGCUUUCCUCCAGAUGUACUUCAUGAUCUUCUGGAAGGAAUAGUUCCUGUGGAGCUUUCUCUCUGCAUUAAGACUAUGAUCCGGAUGAAGUACUUCACUUUAGAGUAUUUGAACCAAAAGAUUGCAUCAUUCCCAUAUCAGCACACUGAUAAAGUGGAUAGACCUCAUCCAAUUCCCAAAACAUUUUUGUCUCGAGGAACGAUAGGAGGGAAUGGACAUGAAAAUGCUACUCUGCUCCGACUGCUUCCAUUACUUGUAGGCAGUGUAGUACCAGAAGGUGAUGGUGCAUGGACAGUUUUGAUGGAACUGAAAGAGGUAGUGCAGUUAGCAUUAUGCCCAUCAUUUACUGAUGAAACCUUAGACUAUUUUCAGUCCAGAGUUUAACCUUCGUCCUAAACAUCACUACGUGGAGCAUUACCCCACCAUGAUCAAGUGCUUUGGGCCCCUGGUGCAUGUUUGGACAAUGCGAUUUGAGGCCAAACACCGUUUUUUUAAACGAGUGGUGCAUGACGCUCAAAACUUCAAAAAUAUUUUGAAGACAAUGGCAGUCAGACACCAACACAUGAUGGCAUACCAUCUUGCUGCCCCUUCAUUUUUCAACCCUGAAACACAAGCGUCCAGUGUUGACUCUGUUCUGGUUUCAGCUCUACCAGAAGUAGCUCAGCUACACAUCAGAAGACUAACAACUAGUGACACAAUAUACCAGACAUCAAAGGUUACCAUCAAUGGCACAGACUAUGUCUGUGGAAUGUUUUUGUCUGUCGGAGAGAGUGGUGGACUACCUAGGUUUUGCAGAGUAGAACACAUUUACCUUGUCAAUAGCACCAUUUCAUUCCUUUGUUCUGAUUGUGAGUCCUGGUUUUCAGAACAUCUUGGAUCCUAUGAGCUCUCACCUUCACAGACAAGUCUGUCAAUCCACCUAAGGUCUGACUUAAACGAUUCAGUCCCUCUCUCUGCAUACGAGGUAGAAGGCUCGCUUCUGUUGACACCCAAGAGAUUCAUACAAAUAAAACAAGCCAGUGCAUAAUGGCAGCUUUAUCUCCACAAGCCAUGAUCCUUCGUGUUGUUGAGCCAGACCGGGCUAGAAAAUUAAAACUUAGUUCACGACCAGCCUCUGUUGAUGCACUGAUUGCUGUUAUAAAAGAACAGCUGGAAAUAGACCUUGACUUCAGUUUAAAAUAUGAAGACCCUGACUUUGAUGGAAAACUUACUUCCCUCUCUGACAUUGAUGAGUUGCCACAGAAAGCUGUUGUGCAUGUGUCAUUUGAGCAAGAUUCCAGCUCUGUUGCAUCAACAGAAACAAUGUCAAGUGUAUCAUCCUCAGAACGUGGGAGAAGAUGGCCUUCACAUAUUUUUCCAAUUCCCACAUUUUCUUUUGACGUUGAACUGAGACUUCGGGAAGGUAAUGCCGAAUUUGAGAAGAACAACAAGCAACUUCAGUUAACUAGAGACAUAAAACAUGACAUUUUAGAAAAGCUAGCAUCUGUGAUGUAUGACUACAAGGCUUAUCCCAGUGAUAAGGAGAUAGCAAUGGUAGCUGAGGCUCUUGUGGUAAAACAUCCUUGCUUGAAAGAAGCAGGAUCUCAGACUGGCUGGAAUGGGUGGAAAAAUAGCCUCAAAUUUAAGAUGGGGAACUAUAGGAGCAAGAUGAGAAGGGCUGGAUGUCCAGAGAUCACUGUAAAUGCUGGAAAAAGGAGUGCAAUGAAUCCUGACAAUGAAUCUUCACAUUCAAAUAUUAAAAGACCCAAACGAGCAGAAGUAAACUUUUUGCCCAACUUUCCCCAAGGAGAAAAUCCCUCAACUCUUGAACAGUUGAGACAGAAAAUUGUUGAUGAAAUGAAGAAAGCUGAGAAGAACUUAUAAAAAACCACUUAUAAAAAAGAUGAUGCAAACCACCUUUGCUCUGCGGCGACAGACCAUAGUGAAGACAUGCCCACCAGUAAAAGAGCUCAUGGAACUCUGGCCUGCACUCAAAAUGGAAUCUGAGGUGUAUGCAGAGUUCCAACGGAUUACAAACGAGAACCUGCCCAACACAUUCUACUCUGAGCUUGACCGACAUCUUCCUAGACUGAUGACCCUGUUCAGACAGAAAGCAUCCAGAACCGGGAAGACAUCAGAUACUUUAACUGAAAUCCUAAGAAUCCAUGAUGACCAGGAGUUUCAUGACAUACACACCAAACGUGUCACUGUUCUUCAUGCGCUUCCUGUGUAUCUACGUGAGGACGUCUCUGGGUUUUUAAGGACCUGCAUGGACACAUCUGAUGAGCCAGAGCUUUUAGAUGUUGCAGUGGCUCUCCUCACAGUCAUCAAAGAUAAUGACACAAGUCCAGUUCACUUCCAGCCUGUGAAAAUCUCUGUUGUCAUCGAAAGUGAGAUUGUGGGCAGCCUCUCCAGAUUUGCUGAUGCCUUCCUGGUAAUGUUUGGACUAAUCUAUGCACUACACCUCAACUAUCCCAGGGGACUGACCAACACUUUUGAAUUCAUUCAAAAGAUUUUGCUUGGUCUUGAUGAGGGUAAACUGUCACCCAAGUUACAGAGUCUCAAAAAUGACUUGAUGUGUAUGUAGAAAUGUAUUGGAAAAAUUACUAAGGCCUGGCAGUUCCUCAGUAGUUCAAUGUAAAAACAAUUUGUGAAAAUAAUGGUUGAAAGGUUUUUGCACUUUUUUCCCCCAAAAUGUGCACAGUGUGCAUUUAUUAAUGUGCAGUUUUCAUUUCUAAAUGUUAUUUGUGAUUUUAAAACAGCUCUUGUUCUUUACAAUUGUUAAGUACAGCUGGGUAGUACUUGGUAACAAUGCAUGUAAUUUAGUUUUAAAUGGUUCAUGUUUUUGUAAAAGUUCAUGCAGGUUUGUGAAUUUGUAAUGUCAGAGAUGUGGUCUUAAUCAGUUUUUCAGGUUUUAUCAUAGUGCACCUUUUUUCUGUCUUUUAAAUGAAGUGUUAAAUAGGAAAGGACAAGAACUCAGCACACUGUAAUUUUAAACUGUUUAAGUUUGUUGAACUUAAAAUAUUUGAGGCAACGAGUUACAUCAAAAAAAUUAGUUUUGAUUCAUAUGAUUUUGAGUCUUGUGUUUUAAAAGGUUUGAGUAACUUGUACUUAAAACACAAAGACAAAGAUACUAAUAAAUAAUGAGUUCAUUCAACUUAAAAGUGGC